GAUGAACGCUGGCGGCGUGCCUAAUACAUGCAAGUCGAGCGAACAGACGAGGAGCUUGCUCCUCUGACGUUAGCGGCGGACGGGUGAGUAACACGUGGAUAACCUACCUAUAAGACUGGGAUAACUUCGGGAAACCGGAGCUAAUACCGGAUAAUAUAUUGAACCGCAUGGUUCAAUAGUGAAAGACGGUUUUGCUGUCACUUAUAGAUGGAUCCGCGCCGCAUUAGCUAGUUGGUAAGGUAACGGCUUACCAAGGCAAAGAUGCGUAUCCGACCUGAGAGGGUGAUCGGCCACACUGGAACUGAGAAACGGUCAAGACUCCUACGGGAGGCAGCAGUAGGGAAUCUUCCGCAAUGGGCGAAAGCCUGACGGAGCAACGCCGCGUGAGUGAUGAAGGUCUUCGGAUCGUAAAACUCUGUUAUUAGGGAAGAACAAAUGUGUAAGUAACUAUGCACGUCUUGACGGUACCUAAUCAGAAAGCCACGGCUAACUACGUG
rnacentral:rRNA from 1 species